rnacentral:rRNA from 1 species
UUGACCUCAAAUCAGGUAGGAAUACCCGCUGAACUUAAGCAUAUCAAUAAGCGGAGGAAAAGAAACCAACCGGGAUUGCCUUAGUAACGGCGAGUGAAGCGGCAAAAGCUCAAAUUUGAAAUCUAGUACCUUCGGUGCUCGAGUUGUAAUUUGUAGAGGGAUACUUUGUGGGCUGGUCCUUGUCUAUGUUCCUUGGAACAGGACGUCAUAGAGGGUGAGAAUCCCGUGUGGCGAGGAUUUCAGUUCAGUUGUGAAGUGCCUUCGAAGAGUCGAGUUGUUUGGGAAUGCAGCUCUAAGUGGGUGGUAAAUUCCAUCUAAAGCUAAAUAUUGGCGAGAGACCGAUAGCGAACAAGUACAGUGAUGGAAAGAUGAAAAGAACUUUGAAAAGAGAGUGAAAAAGUACGUGAAAUUGUUGAAAGGGAAGGGCAUUUGAUCAGACAUGGUGUUUUGCGCCCUCUGCUCCUUGUGGGUGGGGGAAUUUCGCAGUUCACUGGGCCAGCAUCAGUUUUGGCGGUAGGAUAAAUCCAUUGGAACGUGGCUUGCCUCGGUAAGUGUUAUAGCCUUUGGAAAUACUGCCAGCCGGGACUGAGGACUGCGACUUU